rnacentral:ribozyme from 1 species
GCUGCUCGAAACUUUGCACACCUCUUCGUGGUGAGCAGCAGGCAACGAUCUAAGAAUCAGGGAUUCGGUGAUCGGCUGAGAUGUGAAG